rnacentral:rRNA from 1 species
GACAGAGGUGCCGAGCGUUAGGCGGAAUCACUGGGCUUAAAGCGUGUGUAGGCGGGCCGUUAAGUGUCUUGUGAAAUCCCCCCGGCUCAACCGGGGAAUUGCUGGGCAUACUGGCGGUCUUGAGCAAUCUAGGGGCAGAUGGAACAAGUGGUGGAGCGGUGAAAUGCGUAGAUAUCACUUGGAACGCCAAAGGUGAAGACAGUCUGCUGGGGAUUUGCUGACGCUGAGACACGAAAGCCAGGGGAGCGAACGGG